GGUAUUGUUUGAUAGUUAUGUUCAGGUAGUUAGUUACAUUGGAUACAUAAUCUGGAAUUGCAAUACUAGCUAGGUUUGACUAAGGUUAAGUUCUAAAACGUGCCAUCUAAAAUAUGCUCCUUUUUACAGACUUAAAGACCAAUGGAUAAUAGUUUUUCCUGGAACUGAUCGGUCCCGACGAUCAGUUGCCUCAGGAUUUGAGGAUGCAUAUGGUCUGCCAAAUAUCUUGGGUGUAGUAGACUGCACUCAAGUGAAAAUAUUUCCCACCUGUGCCACACGGAGUGCAAUAUCUGAAUCGGAAAGGCGUUCACGCUCUUAAUGUACAGCUAGUAAGUUUCAAUUUUAGUUACAAAUAAUGAUUUUUUUAUAUUAAUCAUAAAAUCCUCAUCACUGACCACAAUGUAUGUAUAUUAUAAUUAAAUAAAGAAAUAUAAAUACUAUGGGACAAUCUAACACAAAUCGACUAAGAUAAUGAUGUACCUAAUCUAGAUUGAUUAUAAUAAUUCAUUAAAAUAAUAACUUAUAUGUUACUACUUGGUUGUCACCAAUUCUCAAAUAAGAAUAUAAAUAACCUUAUAUCUUCAGAUUGCAGAUGUCAACUGUAAGAUCUUGGCAGUAAACACGAGGUUUCCUGGCCGUGUGCACGACUCUUUCAUAUUUAACAAUUCGUCCAUUUAGGAUGAAUUAAGAAGAUUGUACAAUGGCCACAUUGGGGAGUAUUUCCUUCUGGGUGACUCGGGGUAUGCUCUUGAGCCAUGGCUCAUGACGCCAGUGCUGAAUCCUGCCCCGGGAAGCCCAGAAGCAAGAAAUGUUCCCGAGGAAAUCGUAGGAGAUAUUGAUGAAGACGCUCCUCAAGAACUUCCUCAUCGUCAUGCGCAAAACGGACUACUAUUAAGAGUGGCGCAGGAAAAGCGUGCGCGUCUAAUAAAUACAUAUUUUGCUUA